rnacentral:lncRNA from 1 species
CUUAUUCUUUGGGGCAGGAGGCCGAGGUUUAUAGAGCCUGUGGGGAGGGAACCACGGGUACCUGCAGUCCAGAGUGAACACUAGCCCUACAUUCGAUAGUUUUCAGUCUAAAGAAAACACCACAUGCUGGUCCUCCCUGGAAGGUGGCCUCCCAACUACAAACCAACAAAAGGCAUGGGCAGACUUAAAGCUGGAUGGGUUGUGUUGCGCUCCUAAUUCAGGUUUCAAUCACUGUAGUGUAUAACCUUGGCCAGGUGGCUGCUCAUCCACAGCUAUGUUCAUCUCUAAAAGGCAAGUGACACUUGGACAGUUUCUAGGAGCCGUUGAGAAACGGCAGGUACCGUAGGCCUCAGUAAGGAGUGGUCGUCUGUUUUCUGGGACAGGACAGUAAUAAAGGAUAGGGCCCUACAGGACAAACAGGGCCGACUUAGGAAUAUGUGAGUAUACUGUUCUCCAAUUUAUUUUCAUAUUUUUUUGUUAUUUCUAGAAAUGUCACAUUUAAACCUUUUUUAAUAACAUUCAGUAGUUAGUAAAUUCUAUUGUAGAAGUUUACCAUCUAAGUGGCUGAAAAUGUUCAUUACUUAUAAAAUGAUUGACGAAUAUAUAAUAAAGUGGCUUCAUUAGUCACUGCCUGCUACUUCUGUAUUUUUUUCCUAAUUUCUUGUCUUUAAUAUAGAAAACUCAAUAUUGGCUGAAUUAGGUUCAAUAAAGAAUUUUUAUGCUCUCUAA